AUGGCUUUCGGGCUCCUGGGCUUCGUGGCGCUCUGUCUCCUGUGAGCAGGCCCCAUGGAAGCUGGGGUGACCCAGACCCCGAGAUACUUCAUCACAGGGACCGGAAGGCAGUUGACACUGCAUUGUUCUCAGGAUAUGAACCAUGACGCUAUGUACUGGUAUCGACAAGAUCCAGGGCUGGGUCUCAAGCUGAUCUACUAUUCACGGAACGUUGAGUUUGUUGAGGAUGGAGAUGUCCCUCAUGGGUACACUGUCUUGCGGAAAGAGAAGAAUUUCCCCCUGACCCUGAAGUCGGCAGGCACCAACCAGACCUCUCUGUACCUCUGUGCCAGCAUGUCCAUGGAUGCUAGCGUCACUGAAAUCCAGCUGUCAGAAAAAAUGCCCGCCAUGGGGAUCAGGCUCCUCUGCGGUGUGGCCUUUUGCUUCCUGGGAGUAGGCCUUGUGGACGCACAAGUAACCCAAACCCCAAAACAUCUCAUCAAACAAGUGGGAGCGAAAGUUGUGAUAGAAUGUUCACAAAAUAUGGACCACGAAAGAAUGUUCUGGUAUCGACAAGACCCGGGUCUGGGGCUGCAGCUGCUCCACUGGUCACGUAAUGUUGACGAUAUUGAGCAAGGAGACAUCCCUUUCGGGUACAGUGUCUCUAGGCAGAGGAAGAAGGCCUUCCCCCUGACCCUGGAGUCUGCCAGCACCAACCAGACAUCUGUGUACCUCUGCGCCAGCAGUGAAACAGGUUGGCCGUGUGCUGAUGUGUAUGAUUUUACCUUCGGCCCAGGGACCAAGCUGACAGUUGUUGAGAACCUGGAAAAGGUCAAACCUCCCACGGUCACAGUGUUUGAACCAUCAGAAGCAGAGACCUCCCGCACCCAGAAGGCCACACUCGUGUGCCUGGCCACGGGCUUCUACCCCGACCACGUGGAGCUGAGCUGGUGGGUGAACGGGAAGGAGGUCCAGAAUGGGGUCAGCACAGACCCGCAGCCCUACAAGGAGCGGCCCAACGAGAAUGAGUCCAGCUACUGUCUGAGCAGCCGGCUGAGGGUGUCCUCUGCCUUCUGGCACAACCCUCGCAACCACUUCCGCUGCCAAGUCCAGUUCCACGGGCUCGGGGACGAUGACAAGUGGGAAAACACCAGCCGGGCCAAACCCAUCACCCAGAACAUCAGUGACGAGACCUGGGGCAGAGCAGACUGUGGCUUCACUUCGGUGUCCUAUCAGCAGGGCAUCCUGUCCGCCACCAUCCUCUAUGAGAUCCUGCUGGGGAAGGCCGCCCUGUACGCCGUGCUGGUCAGCGCCCUGGUGCUGAUGGCCAAGGUAAGGAGGUAG